GGUCCCGUAGUGGAGCGGUUUAACACGCCUGCCUGUCACGCAGGAGAUCGCGGGUUCGAUUCCCGUCGGGACCGCCA
rnacentral:tRNA from 39 species